AGCAAGGAAGGCUCAGCAGCCAAUGUAGAUCCUGUCUUUUGUAAUCAGUAGCUACAUCUGGCUACUGGGUCUCAAAAAUGAAAA
rnacentral:pre_miRNA from 1 species